rnacentral:rRNA from 1 species
GACAGAGGGUGCAAACGUUGUUCGGAAUCAUUGGGCGUAAAGCGCUCGUAGGCGGCGGGGCAAGUCGAAUGUGAAAGCCCAGGGCUCAACCCUGGAAGUGCAUUCGAAACUGCCUUGCUUGAGUCCUGGAGAGGGUGGUGGAAUUCCCAGUGUAGAGGUGAAAUUCGUAGAUAUUGGGAGGAACACCGGUGGCGAAGGCGACCGCCUGGACAGUGACUGACGCUGAGGAGCGAGAGCGUGGGGAGCAAACAGG